GCGGGGUAGCUCAGGUGGUUAGAGCAGCGGAAUCAUAAUCCGCGUGUCGGGGGUUCAAGUCCCUCUCCCGC
rnacentral:ncRNA from 14 species